UAUUUGCUCAAAAGCAACAUUUUAUUUAACCCUCAACAGAUCUUUUUAAAAUCAACAUUUUUGGACCAUUCAAAUCUCUCUGUGCAAUACAGUGAGAGAUUGAGUAACAAGCAUAUGCAAUAAGGUAAAUGUUAGGAAUGUCUGUCAUAGCACAUCACCACAGUGCACACAAGCAUGCAUCACACACACACAUCUCAUAAACUUCAUAGCAAGAAAUAAUCUGUAAUGUUAUACAGCUUACAAAUGUGAGCCAAAUAUUAUUUAAAAAUAAUAAUAAAAAAAAUAUUAC